GUGCACUUCGCUGCCAAGAAACUGAAGCCAUACUUCCAAGAGCACCCGAUCACUGUGGUCUGCACGGCUCCGCUUGCCGAGAUCAUUGGAAGCCGGGAUGCUUCAGGCCGAGUGGCCAAAUGGGCCAUAGAUUUGCCCCCCUACACCAUGUACUACCAGCCUCGCACCGCCAUCAAGUCACAAGCACUGGCUGACUUCCUCGUUGAUUGGGCCGAGACCCAGUACUUGCCGCCAGCGCCAGACUCCAUCCAUUGGCGAAUGCACUUUGAUGGUUCCAAGAUGCGCACCGGUUUGGGAGCCGGCAUCGUCCUCACCUCUCCC
rnacentral:rRNA from 1 species